UUGGAUACAGGAAAGAUAGAAGCGAAAAAAUGUCAGCUUUCGAUUUUCGCUUUGUGAAAUUUAAAAUCUACAAGAUUCUGAAAGCUCUGAAAGAUUACGCUUAGCGGUUACGCGAUCGUUCGUGACACUUUGCAAUCGUUUUAAAAUGUUGCAGCCGUGUUAAGUACGACGACAUUAUUGAAGAUAAACAGUUCGAUUCGUCCGUAAGAGGAAAACGUUUGUUCGUCUUCACGCACACAGAAAGUCCAUCAAAGGCUGCUCGUAAAAGCGGACAGAGAAACGCGGACACGCGCGAGUGCAAGCUGAACCGAGGGGCGGGGGUCGUUUCACAGGCGAAAACCGUGGCGGUAAGCAGGAAGAAGGAAGGAAAUAGAAGGACGGGAGGGUAAAGAACAGCUAGAUGAUUUCAUGGGAAGACAAGUGGGGUCCGCUUGAUGCACGUUCUAAGUUCCUCUGGACAAGCGGACUCUCGUUAUAGGAACCGGUAACACAUUGGACCUUCGUCUUCGGGGGCUAAGUGAAAUUCUUGAGAAGUUUAAUUUAAUUAUACCGGGGGCAACCGAAGCGAUUAAUCGUGACGUACCGAAUAACCGAGCUCUUCGUCUUGUACCCGGCGCUAUUGGCUUCGCCUUGUCCGUCUUAUAUCGAUUCUUCGGGCGCGAAAACUUUGGUCAUACACUAAGGAGGACACUUUGGAACGCCGGCACCACGGCACGUCGUACCACGCCACGCUGUACUGUACCACACCGUGCCGUACCGCACAGAGCGCCGGCGCCGCGUCGAAAUUAUAAUGAGAUUAAACCAGAAAUGUUGCCUGCCAACACCUUCAACCUGUACCUUUGCGAUUAAAUCAAGUUGCCUAGUUUCGCAAUUGCA